GAUGAAGAACGCAGCGAAAUGCGAUAAGUAAUGUGAAUUGCAGAAUUCAGUGAAUCAUCGAAUCUUUGAACGCACCUUGCACCCUUUGGCAUUCUGAAGGGUAUGCUCGUUUGAGUGUCAUUGUACUCUCACACUUCUGAUCCUUUGGAUUGGGAGCGGUGGACUUGGGUGUUGCUGCUUUACUGUGGCUCACCUCAAAUGCAUUCGUGCAACUCUUGGUUGGACAUAGUACGGCGUGAUAAGUAUCUUCGCCGGCACCUCGCAAGAGGGUGGCUGAUCAGGAGCUCUGUGCUUUCCAACUGUCUUCAGACAACAACUGACAACUUGACCUCAAAUCGAGUAGGACCACCCGCUGAACUUAAGCAUAUCAAUAAGCGGAGGA
rnacentral:misc_RNA from 1 species